rnacentral:rRNA from 1 species
GUAGGGUGCGAGCGUUAAUCGGAAUUACUGGGCGUAAAGCGUGCGCAGGCGGUUCGCUGUGUCCGAUGUGAAAGCCCCGGGCUCAACCUGGGAAUGGCAUUGGAAACUGGCGGGCUCGAGUGUGGCAGAGGGGGGUGGAAUUCCGCGUGUAGCAGUGAAAUGCGUAGAGAUGCGGAGGAACACCGAUGGCGAAGGCAGCCCCCUGGGCUAACACUGACGCUCAGGCACGAAAGCGUGGGGAGCAAACAGGAUUAGAUACCCUGGUAGUCCACGCCCUAAACUAUGUCGACUAGGUGUUGGGGAAGCGAUUCCUUGGUACCGAAGCUAACGCGUGAAGUCGACCGCCUGGGGAGUACGGCCGCAAGGUUA